AAGUGUAUAUACGAACACCGGGAAGUGUACAUACGAACACCGGGAAGUGUAUAUACGAACACCGGGAAGUGUAUAUACGAACACCGGGAAGUGUAUAUACGAACACCGGGAAGUGUAUAUACGAACACCGGGAAGUGUAUAUAUGUACACCUGAAGGUGUGUAUACGUACCUGGAGGUGUGUAUACAUACACCUGGAGGUACAUAUCCCAAAUUUAAGGAUAGACACCUCCAAGAUAUAUAUAGGUUGUGGAGGAUUAUUCAUUGAUGUUCUUGAAUGAUGUUCUUAGAUUUGAUAACUACGGACUUAAUGACCAUUUUGAAGUUGCAAUAAACCGAACAAACUGGCUAUAUAGAGUGAAUGUUACAGGAGGUUUAUCGUGACGAGGCAGUUCCUGCUGCAACCGCAAGCAGCGUGCCAGUGAAUCUUUAUUAUUAUAUUCAUGUUAAGCACUAAAUCCGAUUGGGUCAUACAGCCUUGGUUCAAGAAAUUAAAUGGGCACCUCCAAUUCCUUGGGUCUGGAGAUCUUCAGCAGCAUCAGGAUACGUUGAAAAAGGUGUGUGGGAAGAUGAGAGAUGUUACCUCCAGGCAGGUCCACUGCCUCCCUCUCCCCACAACCAGAGGUGGUAUAUAUAGCGAGGAGCCCCAUAUCCUGUGGAACACCUCCGUCACGAAGCAAGAAGUACGGACGCUCACCGUCUCACAAUGAAGUACUGGGAUGAAUUAAGUGAUCAUGCUAAGUUGUACACUUUCCUUCGUGCACACAUUGGGAGAUCCAAGGCCAGAAGUUGACCAGGGAGGUGAAGAUAGUGAGUGGUUUCCCACAGGUGUCCUGGGUGUGGAAAGUUACCAGGCCAGCAACCACCCACUGAUCCUGAGCACGAGUUCCAACGUUCACUAGGAUUCAUCUGAUGAGCGUCAACAAGGACACUGAUACUUGGUAGGAGAGAUGAGAGAGACAAGGAGGAUGAUGGAACUUCACAGAUACACAACGCAGAGCUCUUCCCCAGACAUUUACUGACCCACAGCCAUUUAUCGACCCCUUCGAUAAUCCCAUCUACCCUUUGGGGUCUAUUGACCACUCUGAGGAACCCUGCUUUCACAUGAUGAGACUUGAAAAUAUCACUGAAAAA